UACGUAGGGAGCAAGCGUUGUCCGGAAUCAUUGGGCGUAAAGCGCGCGUAGGCGGCCCGGUCAGUCCGUCGUGAAAGUCAAAGGCUCAACCUUUGAAUGUCGAUGGAUACUGCCGGGCUAGAGUCCGGAAGAGGCGAGUGGAAUUCCUGGUGUAGCGGUGGAAUGCGCAGAUAUCAGGAGGAACACCAAUUGCGAAGGCAGCUCGCUGGGACGUUACUGACGCUGAGACGCGAAAGCGUGGGGAGCAAACAGG
rnacentral:rRNA from 1 species